rnacentral:misc_RNA from 1 species
GAUGAAGAACGUAGCGAAAUGCGAUAAGUAAUGCGAAUUGCAGAAUUUCCGUGAGUCAUCGAAUCUUUGAACGCACAUUGCGCCCCCUGGUAUUCCGGGGGGCAUGCCUGUCCGAGCGUCAUUACAACCCUCAAGCUCAGCUUGGUGUUGGGCCCCGCCGCCCCGGCGGGCCCUAAAGUCAGUGGCGGUGCCGUCCGGCUCCGAGCGUAGUAAUUCUUCUCGCUCUGGAGGUCCGGUCGUGUGCUCGCCAGCAACCCCCAAUUUUUUUCAGGUUGACCUCGGAUCAGGUAGGGAUACCCGCUGAACUUAAGCAUAUCAUAAGCGGAGGA